UGGUAUUUUUGUGUAUGUCUUCAGUUUCAUUUUUUUUUUCUUUUAAGAUCUGGAUUAACUGCAGAAAGCAUCUUCCAGAAUUGGCUUGACACUUCUGGAAUACCAAAGCCUUUGCUGGAGGAGGGUGAGACGUGGAAGGAGAGUCGGCUCGUCCAGCAAGUGAGCGGAGAGGUUACAAAAUGGAUUCGGACAAACCAGAUGAUGAGAAAAAGUGGCAAAAAGAAAAGAAGGCUGGAUGAAGUUGUUUUCCAAAAGCUUCUCCCUGACCAGCUGGUCUUACUUCUGGAGUCUCUCUUGGAGGUGAAGACGUUGUGUCCUAGAAUACUGCAGUGCUUAGAGAAAACGUACCAGCUCCGGGAGCAAGAUGCUGAGGUAAUCACUUACAAAAAAAAUCUCCCCAGCAUACACCAUUGCAUUGUUGACUAUGAGUAAUAGUGUUCCAAUAGGAUUAGGAUCCAGGCUCAUUCAGAUGGGUUGUUUCUGGUUUUUUUCCGUAUCUAAGUCUGAAGUCAGAUGUUCUUAACUCCAGUAUUGUUGGUUCUUCAGGUGCCUUAAUUACUGAGUAUUUCUAU
rnacentral:lncRNA from 1 species